CCUACGGGAGGCAGCAGUAAGGAAUAUUGGUCAAUGGACGGAAGUCUGAACCAGCCAUGCCGCGUGCAGGAAGACGGCCCUACGGGUUGUAAACUGCUUUUGCAGGGGAAUAAACCCCCGAUACGUGUAUCGGGCUGAAUGUACUCUGAGAAUAAGGAUCGGCUAACUCCGUGCCAGCAGCCGCGGUAAUACGGAGGAUCCAAGCGUUAUCCGGAUUUAUUGGGUUUAAAGGGUGCGUAGGUGGCCUGUUAAGUCAGGGGUGAAAGACGGUAGCUUAACUAUCGCAGUGCCCUUGAUACUGAUGGGCUUGAAUAAACUAGAGGUAGGCGGAAUGUGACAAGUAGCGGUGAAAUGCAUAGAUAUGUCACAGAACACCAAUUGCGAAGGCAGCUUACUAUGGUUUUAUUGACACUGAGGCACGAAAGCGUGGGGAUCAAACAGGAUUAGAUACCCUGGUAGUCCACGCCCUAAACGAUGAAUACUCGAUGUUGGCGAUAUACGGUCAGCGUCUAAGCGAAAGCGUUAAGUAUUCCACCUGGGGAGUACGUCCGCAAGGGUGAAACUUAAGGAAUUGACGG
rnacentral:rRNA from 1 species